rnacentral:rRNA from 1 species
GAUAGGUUAAGUUAAUAAGGGCGCAUGGUGGAUGCCUUGGCACUAGAAGGCGAUGAAGGACGUGACUAACUACGAUAUGCCUCGGUUAGCUGUAAGUAAGCUUACCCGGGGGUUUCCGAAUGGGGCAACCCGAUCUUAAUGAUCAUCAUCUUUUUGAAUUCAUAGAUUAGAUGAAGCAAACGCUGUGAAC